UAGACCCAUGAAGGACAGCUGGUAUCAGAGAGCCUUACACAAGCAGUAGGUGCAUUGUGCUUUUGCAGAGCAACAGCAUUUCAAACUUGAGAUGUCUGAACAGGCUAUGAUGAUCUCAUACUACUCUCACAAGAAAGGAGUCCACACCAGAACCAGAGGAAGAGCAAACUGACUCGUGCCCAGCAGCUCUCACUGGGAGAGGAUCCCCAGCUCCAAACCAUCGUGACCUCCAAGCAGCCACUCUAUUUCCUGUGUAGUUUUCACAGGUGGCACAGAAGUUGGGGCAAUGUAAUUGUUGUA